UUUAGCAGUGGUUUUCACCAAACCAGACUGAUCCACUCCAUUACUGCUCUGUUAACACGGGGAGGGAUCUGCUACCACAGAUGCCUCUGGUGUUUGCUGCAUCAGGAAGGUUGUCAAUGGGCCACACUGGGAGCAGAUUAUGGGAAAUAAGAGUCCAUAAUAGUCAGACUUCAGUGUACAGGAUCUUACAGUAUUGCUUAUGCUGCAAAACACCAAAGGCCAGAGAAGAAAAUUGCAAACCAACUAAAAUUAAUAACUGAGAACAAGAAUUACUGUCACGAUGUGUCAGCUGCUCCAAGCCCUACAGGAGGCUGCUGCCUUUCUCUGAUGACAGGUAGUGGUGCAGCAGUGGCUCCUGCCUGGCCAGGAGCAGCAGGUGGAUGCUGCACAAUAAAAUGAGAACAGACAGCAGGGCUGUGAAGGAUCUGCCAUCCCAUAAUUCAAUUCCUGCUCUUAUUCACCUGAAGCUGAACGUGAGGAUCUUUGUUCACUUUUUAAUUCUGAGAUUAGCUUAGGAGAACUGAAUCAGGGGUGCAGAAAAAAGCUUGGCAAUUUGAGGGAUCUGUUUUCAGUUGGUCGUGUUGGGAAAUGUUUUUGUUUGUUUACCUCUGGGAUCCAUUGCAAUUUAUGGGUAUUACUGCUUUGGAAAGCAGCAGGAGUUCCUGGGGUGCUUUCUGCCAACCAGCCCUGUGAGAACUGGGGGAGGAGACCAUGAAGAGCGAACAGCUGCUGUGGAAAUCCAGGGGACCCCAAGAGUAACACUGCUUUGGCUUUUCUCCCUUGUCUGGUGGGAAUGGACAGUGGCAGCAUGAGGGCCUUAUGCUGUCCCUCGGCUGGAGGACUUGGACUUGUGCUGCCAAAGGACUCCUAAAGCUGGCUGCAACAAAGGCACAGUGUCAUGCUGAGGAGAUGUCAGAGCUACAGCUGGAUGUCUCUACCUGAGAAGUUAGAGCAAAAGGAAAUAGAAGAAUGCAGGAUAAUUACAGUGUGGUUUGUGGUUAUGACAGAACUUAAAUUGCAUGGUAUAAAAGGAGUGAUCAGACAAUGUUAAUUGCUUUUGACAAUGGUGUCAUUUAAAUUCAAAUCCAAAUUUUUCUUCAAAAGUUCUGAGGAAGCUUUUGGUUAUGUUGGACUUCCCAGCACAGAAUGAUGGGAACACUGCAGUGUCUUGAAGACAGGAUCUUAGGAAGCUCUGAGGUUUAGAAACAGUCCGUGGAAGAGACCAAAUCAAAACAAAACAAAAACCAGAACAAAGAACCAACCAAGAGCAAAGUCACCCUUCCCUCCUCAGAGCAAGGCCUUAUAUAUACUGACGGCAGUCCUGGAGAGCAAUCCAGCUUUGCUCGAGUGGGAUACACAUGCAGCUUUUAAUCAGAAAUGACAGCUAUAAAGCGGCACCAUGUGCAGUACCUCUGAGACCUGUACUCUUGCAUGGAGGAGGAGGGCUGCGGAACAGAAAGCAGUCCCCAAGCCACCUAGCCUGCAGCUGUGUGCCUGCAAAGAAAGAGGUGAGAGGAAAGGAGGGCACAGGAUUUGUGUUGUUCUUAUAAGGCAGUAAGUAAAGAAAUUGCUAAGCAUUAUUUAUUAAUUCUGCUGUGGUAUAGGCAUACGUGACCACAAAUUUAUAGAAGACAUUACGUUUGCAAAGCCAGGGGCUCAGCA